rnacentral:lncRNA from 1 species
GACACUCCUGGAGAGUGCAGCGGCAUCCAGAAGCAAAGCUUGCAUUCUCUUGCCAAGUGACUUCCUAACUUCACUGAAAAGCGCUCACUUUUUCAGCUCGCAAAAACUCUUCAAGGACAACGGGUAAGAUGUACGUGGAAGUUAAUAUUGAGGGGGCAGAUUCUGGAGCGGAGGAUGAAAUUCACACGUUCCAGGAAUCAGUAUCGUGAACAUCAGUGCAGCAGUUCUGGUCACCUGGAUUUAUAAACACCAAGAAGUAGCAACAGCCAGUGUGCAAGUCACUGACAACCCAAGUCACCAAAAAUCUUACUGAGAACCCAUUAGCUCCUUGAAUUAAAGAUUAUUUUGUGAAAAAAAAAAAAAAA